rnacentral:rRNA from 1 species
GACAGAGGUGCCGAGCGUUAGGCGGAAUCACUGGGCUUAAAGCGUGUGUAGGCGGCCCGUUAAGUGUCUUGUGAAAUCCCCCGGCUCAACCGGGGAACUGCUGGGCAUACUGGCGGGCUUGGGUCGCUCAGGGGCAGACGGAACAGGCGGUGGAGCGGUGAAAUGCGUAGAUAUCUGGAGGAACACCGGUGGCGAAGGCGGCAUCCUGGACCAACACUGACGCUGAGGAGCGAAAGCCAGGGGAGCAAACGGG